UGCCUAUAAUGGACAACGGUAGUGUUUCCAAGCCAAGUUGGCUAUCUUUGUGCUUUACAGUGCCAAAAACUUCAAAGCUUCUUCCUUUUAGAACUCUAAAGCAAUACAAGUUUGUGUUUCUUCAUAUCAUCAAACUUAAUUAUUGGCAAUAAGCAGAUGCUGGCAGGAGCAGCACAUCACAUGGCUCCAUUUCUACUUUAGAAAAGGUCAGCAUAUGGCAUAAACACUUUGCUGUAUUAUGCAGCCUUGUACUCUGAUCACAUAACACAUGCUUCAGAAAGCAUUAUGCAAUGUUAGACUCACUGAUUAAUGACUGCUUGCACAAGAAGUUUUUCAUUACCCCGAAUGCUAGCAUCCUGGGAAUGAUUAACUUUGUGACAUAACUCUCAUCACAUAAAUAUGGAAGAUUCAAACAUAGCCUCAAAAUAACGUGUUUCAGAAAUAACUGAACAUUUUUGCUGCUUAGUACUGUGUACAGUAUUUGAUUAACAACUGCUUUAAACCUUCAGAGUUGAAUAGAAAAGCCUGUUUGUGAGAACUGAAAACAAGAUUUAUUUCUAGGGUUUAAAGUUUUACCCAAGAUGAAUUUUUGCACACAGCAGCAUCUCAUUUGCAAUGUUUUUCCUCUGCUUGUGUAAGUUUGAAUUUCCUGAGAAAAAUCUGUGCCAACUAUUUUCAGUUCAGCCAGUGAUUUAAACAGAACAAGUCAAAUCUAGCCCUUAUUUAGACCAGCAACUGCAUGUAUGUAAAAUGACUCAGUCCAGUGUGUUCAGUAGUACAGUACAUGCAGUUGUGUGCUUAAAUCAGCGUAGUGAUAGCUCAUUAAAUUCACAAUAAUUGCUGAUGUUCCUGCAGGCAGAAUAAGAAAACAAAAUGUGGUCCUGAAUGAAGUGUCUUGCAAACUUACAGCCUGAACAUUGCUACACAUUCCUAUGUAACAUUUUCAUAGUCUAAUGAUUAAUCAUUCCAUGUUCAAAUUAUGCAGAUUCCUCUUUUAAAAACCAUCAUGACAGUACAUCACUCAUAUUAUUAUCUUCAGGAUGUACAGAAGAGGAAAAACCUAUAAAAAGAAAUGUUCCUUACUGUAUUCCCUCACAUAUGAAGAUUCAUCCCUGAAGUAAUUGCUACAAGUUAUCUAUGUUUCAAGAGCUUUAUUAAGGAGAAAGUCAGUUUGCCUGCUUGGAAAUUCAAGAUCAGUGUUCACAAGGAAAUAUCUAUAUUAAACUCCCACUUACUAAUUUGCCUUUAAAUGUCAGACUAAAAAAAAAAAAAGAGACAUAUGCUUUUUUAUGAUUCUCUCUCCUUUAAGUAAUUCUGCUCAUGAACUGCCACAUUAAAUAAAGCUACUUAAAGUCCUUGUAAUGGGCAGGAUGGUUUAGGAUGUCACCACAUUAAUGCAUAUGUGCCAUGUCUUCAGAAUUAAUCUUCUUUGAGAAAAAGUACAGAAGGUAAACAGUCUGACCUUCAGUCUGUUCACUUUAGUUUUUGCCUUUUCCUGCAUUCCAACUCCUGCAAGCAGUAGCAAAGGCUAAAGGAAAUGGCCUCUGACUAAGCAUUAGCUACCAGCAUGCCCUCAUUAUAGCUGAGGGCUCUUAUUCUCACUUAGCCUACGUGCAGAGCCAGCUACUCUUUCAGCUGUGAUGACGAAAUGCCAUGCAUUUCUUCCUGGAAUAGUACGCAGAUAAGAGGCCACUUGUUAUGCUGAGGUUUCAGAUGAACUCCACUAAGGGUUUCAAAACACUCUGUCACAAUUAUAUCAGGUUUCUUUAGCAACCAAUUCAUUUCAGACACUUUUAAGAUAAAAAGGGAAGAGAUGUUAGUUUAUUUUCCCUUGUGGUUUCACUGUUUAAACUUCUACAGGAUAUGACUGGAUAGUUUAUACAUGGUCUGAAUUUAUUAAUUUUAAAGAAAAAUCUAUCAAAACGGCUUCAUUUUUCUCUAGAAAUUCACAUUAUUUGUAGUCCCCUAUGUGUACCUAUAACUUAGGAGAAGAAACAAAAAAUCUCAUGCCUCGGAUAUGCUGCUAAAACAAUCCUGCUGUGCAGACUCAGUUGCUGAGGGCCUUGAACUUAUUCUGGGUCCAGCAAAAGCUGAGAGUUUGGAGAACCUUGCAGCAAAAAAGGUUAAUCUUUAUCCUGGAGUUGGGUUCAGAUUCUAGGACCUGUGUGCAGAGUACGAGCCCAGUUGGCCUAAGCGUUACUUAGCAGUGGUGGGAAAACCUGGUUGUGAGAUCUCACAGCCUUGGCACUCAUUUAGGUGAUUCCAUGCAUUAACAAAAGCAACUUUAGCAGAAUCAAACAAAUCACAAAAGUGUCCCAACUGUAAAAGAAGGAGGAAUCUAUUCAGUCUUUGUUUCAAACCAGUAAUACCAUUAGAACCAGCAAUUACUGUAUGCUAUUGAAGAAAGGAAUAAAUUGUCUGGAAUAAGGAAUGGAUCCUAUGCAGGUUAAAUAGCUUUCUUUGCUCACUCAUAGACUCUAAUGAAACAUUUAGAAUCUGUGGUAUGCCCCAUUUCCACUGUAUCUGAAUAGCACUUUAGAUAGAUAUAGUCAGCAGGAGGAAGAAUCUUAUGAUGAUAAGUCUUGAGUAAAUUGCAACCUAAAUAGGUAUUUAAUAUGAAAAAAAAACCUAACCCAACCCAAAAUGGCAUCUCUCCUUUGUCACUUGCCCUGCAAUUCUCAACAUUUACUAGUAUCUCAUUAAGUGGGAACUGAAGGCUCAAUUCUAUUUCCUUUUAAGACAACAAAAUUUUCUUUUUCCAUUUACAUAAUGGAAUUUGGAUCAGGUUUUGCUUCUGUAAUCUUACUCUUUAAUGCUUUCCAAAUAAAUGUGUAAUUCCCAUUGAGAUCACUAGGAAUCUUGGCUAUUCGUAAUCUGUUCUUUUUUUUCUGCAACUGUUCUUCAGUAAAGAGGGCUCCCUUUGAAAAUGUCCAAAGAACACUAAAGUUUUCAAACCCAUUGCUUGCCUUAUUUACUUUUUUCUUCCCUUUGUUGGAAAAGUUCCUUUCUUUAGUUAGUGACUACUGACUCAGAAAAAAAUAAGAAUUAUUUUCCUCACAAAUAAAGUAUUUCUUAAUUGUUUACUAGAAAUAGAUGAUUCUUGCAAAUUACUUCAAAGACUUCUUCUCCCUGCCAAAGCAGAAUAUACCAACAAAGCAUAAGUUUUUCCAUUUUUCUCCUCUCUUUUUGUCAAAAUGUUAGUCUAAAUACUGUUGCUACAGUGGUCACUAGCAGGUCUUUUAAAUAAUUAACAACUCAUUUCACAAAAAUUCUAAUCUGCCAAAUAUAAAUAUGAAUAAUGGACAUCUCCUUUUUUGAACUGUUUCUGUUGUGAACUUUUAUUUUAAAUAACUACAAUAAGACAAACCUGUUGAAAAAUGAUAUUAAAUACUACUUCAUUUUGUAAACUUGUUUAUUACUCAUCCUGUGUGUCACUUAAAGUAUCUUGCAGUGUCUUAUCUCAUUUUCUAUUUUAGAAGAUUUAGUCUUAUUCUCUGAAAAAGACAUUGUUUUUUUAACAGAAUAUCAUGGGGAAAAAAACCAAACCAAACUACAUUUCUUGAAAAUGAUACUGAAAAGAUAAAUGCUCUUCUGUGGUGCAAAACAUGGAAAUGUUUUAAACUGAAAUUACUGCAAUUGAAAAUUUGUCAUCUUUACUGAAAUCACAGAACUAGGGAACACCAUCCCACCAGCACAUAUACUAGGGGAGCUGGUUUUAUCCUUCUCUUUAGCCUUUGUCACCUUCUGAUUGUUCUUUCAUACAAUCCCUACUCCCGCUUCCCCAGUAUUCCCUGCUAAGGAGAGGGGAUAUGCGCCAUCUAAUCUUGGGUAUGUGCUGUUUGUGUCUGGAGCCCUCACAGAAAGUGUGAUGACCAAGUUGCUGAAGUUUUAAUUCAAAAAGGAAGUGGAAGAGGGACUUCAGCAUGAGCCUUUCUUCUUUCAUCAAACCACUUUUCAUGGAAAACUAAUGGAUCCUCCUUUUCCACCUUUUUUAAAGCUCAGUUUAUAUAGUGUAAGGUUCAAAAGAUACAAGGGUCAGGACUGACAGAUAGCAAUGGUACCAUGUUAUUUUCUAAGACUAUUGAUGCAUGGGUAGAGCCUAAGAGAUAGGGGCUAGGUUUUCUCUUGUUGAGCAGUAAGUCAUCCAAGCUGUCAGAGGCACAAAUGCUGAGGAUGGGGAAACUGCUGACAGGCUUCAGCCAUCGAGCAAGUGUCCAGGUCCUGAGCCAUCUUGAACUGACGUAGUGAUUCAUUGUUAGCAGGAUCCAAACUAGCUGGAUGCAAACAAACUCGGAUUUCUUUACAUGCAUUUGCAAAUAAUGAUAACAUGCUAAUGGCAGAAUAGCUCUAAUGGGCAUUACCAAAAAAAAUUAACAUUCCCUACAAAUUAGAAUCUUUCUCUCCUUAACUAAAUCAAAGUUAAAGAAAUAAAUGUGGAGAGUCUUUAUUGUGCUGUAAAUAUCAGCAGCUUUAUUCUAAGUCAUAAAAGCCAUAGCAAUAGCACUUGCUAGUCUGUCAUUCAUGACAGCCUGCCUGUAAACAGUUUAUGCUGGUGAUAACUGAUAAAUAGGUAUAUUGAACACUUACAGGGGUGUUGUGACCCUGCAGUAUUGUUUGAUGAAAUAAAUGAUGUUUACAAGUAACGUGACUUUCAAUCCUGCUGUGAAAGAUCUGAGAGUUGGGAGUAGGCUCUUUGUUCUUAUUAUCUAUUCUUCAGAGAAUUAUUUAAUUCCUAGAAGCAGAUGGUGAUUUUUAAGCCCACUGCUAUUUUGGUGUACUUUAAAAAAAGAAAAGAAGCCCUAAAAAUAGACCUAGGUUACCAUAUCCAGCAAAAAAAAAAAUACGUUGUCAGCUCUUUACUCUGGUGUGCUGAAAACAAAUCUGUCAGCAAUUUCUUUGGGUUAAAGUAUCUGAGCACUGUGGGGGGAGCGAUUUUUGUAGUUUCCUGAUGGGUUUUGGUUUGGUUGGUUGGUGGUUUUUUAAAAAGAAAUCAUUUAAAGUGGUUUUGUAACAGAGUACAUUUAAUGCUUUACAUAACAAAAAAUUACCAUCUGUUGUUAUAAAAGACACUCUACCAAAUUGAUGAAACCUAUACUCUGGUUAAUUUUGUGGAUCAACUGCAUGAAUUAGAUUUUAAAGUCUGAAUCACUCUGAAAUCAACAUCUUCAGCUCUGCUGGAACAGACAUUAAAAAUCAGCCCAUUUUCUGUAAUUACCAAAAUGAAAAUGAGAGUGACAGUUAUUCAUGCAGAAAAAAAAAAAAAACACUGGUAAUGCAUCUGAGUCAAAUAGGGCUCUUAUGUUUACCUUAUAAUUUAAUACAUUUCUGGUAUUAAAAGUGUGGUUUGACAAAGUUACUGAAUGGGAAAUGAAUAAGACUUUUGGAUUCCCUGUGCAGGUGAUUGACAUAACAAGAGACUGACAGUACAGUAUUUUCAGGAGUAUUUUCAGUAUUAGAUGAUUUUGGCAUAACUCUUGGCAUAAGUAUGAAAUAUAAGGGUACAGCUAAAAGAAUGUGGUAUCUGUUUUUUUCUACAUCACAUGAAUGUAUUUUAAAAGGAUGGACGCAGAAAACCAAAACCAGCUCUCUAAGGUAGGUAUUUCAUUUUAGUGAUCUCAGUGCAAAAUAUUUUGGCUGGCAGCAUUUGUUUCUGAGAUACAGCUCCUUAGAGCCAAAUCCUGUGAAAUGUUAAGCAUUCUUACUAUCUUUUGGAGAUUGGCAAUAUCAAUAAUUCCCCAGAUCAAUACUUUAUCUUACUAAUUCAGUGCUGUGAAUGCUCACUUCCUAUCUGGAGGUGCUCAGAUAGAUGUAAUCAUGCAUCAUCCCUGCUGACAGUGUCAACUCCUUUCCAUUGACUCCUGAGGAGGCCCCAUAGUUUGGUCCUCACUCACACAUAAGUUACAUGCUUACAGCAAGCAGUGUGGCACUUCUUGUGAGAGUUCAGCAUAUGCUCUAUUGCAGGCCUUUCCUCAAGGCUCCUGAACUUCAGCUGCAAUGUUUCAGUUGGAAAAGCUCUCUCUGUAGGUAUAUUAUCAGUAAUGUUGGCAUCCAUGGCACUGCAAUGUGGAAUCCAUUGGGCUGGAAACCAAAUUGCCUGAAGUACUCCUGGAGAGAAGCUCUAGAGCAUGCAGGCAGUCAUGUAAAGGAAAGAUGGGAGAAGAGCCUCUAAUACACUCAGAGCACUCUGUUGUAGUGCACUGAAGAGUACCCUCCUGUGUAGGUGCUGAAGACCCUGAAUUCUGCCCUAACCUAUGGCUUCAGCUUUCAGAUCCAUCUUACACUACCCAGCACUGAGUGUACAGUGCAGUAUGAGAUCCUACCCAGAGGAGCCUGAUGCUGCUUGCUACAAGGACAGGUAGAUUGUACGUGCAUGACAUCAGCAAAGUGGGCUAGGGUCAUGGAAGUGCUGUAGAUUACAGACCAUUUCAAGGAAUGGUCAUAUCUGGUGAGGUAUAUAUAUAUAUAAAUACUCUGGUGUCAGUUUGUUGCUCCAUGUUUCAGAUUUAUAACUGUGCAGUAAUUGGUGCCACACACAUCUGUGUGUUUGCUUAUGUUGUGGAAUCACACUGUGGCCUGACCUGGAUGUGGCCCUGUGCAGAACCCUAAGACUGAGUGGGACACACUAUUUGCUAUCCCACAAUCCUGAGAUGAGAGAAUCCGUGGGAUGAUGGAAAGUGUGAAAAAAUGCCUGAUGCUGCCACGACAGGCCUGUAAUUAACGGUGAUGCUUGUGCUGAGGCAAGAAGCAGACCGGUACUUAAGGGUUAACUUCCCUAGAUCCUCUCUGGGAUUUUAGGAAUGUUGAGACGUGCUGGUUAUAAAGCCCUAAGUACAAAAUGGUCACGGAUGGCUGGAAUGAGGCAUGUUCUAAUGGAAACAAAUCACUUGUCAGUAAGCAGCCUUCAAACUUUUGAACAAAAGCUCAAAAGGGUCAGGGAAAAGACACUGUUUGUUGAUUUAAAAUGGCUGGAUGCAGGUCAUCAGGAAGGCAUAGGCUUCAAUAUUGUUGAGGUAACUCUUCAGUUCUGUGAGUUUUAAACAAGGUUAAAUACUUUGAUGGCAACCACAAAUGGAAUGAGGAACUUAAAUUAAACAGAAAGCUCACACAUUAUAGACUGAAGUGUGCAUAAUACCAAAAUGUAAAGCACGUACACCACUGCAAAGCAGCCGCAGAAUGGAGCUCAGCUGUGGGAACUGUAUUUAGAUACCUAGACAUGACUGCUUGUGAGGGAGACUAUGCUGUAUCUACUGAAAUUUAGAAGGGUGACCUGUAGAUCCUAUUCCUGUAGAUGCCUGUGAUUCAUUGACAUUUUAGUUAGUUGAAAUAGUGUAGCUCAGCCUUAUAGUGAUUUGAUGAUAAAUCCAAAUCCCAAUUCUGUUUAUUCACCUUUCUGUCGAUUUUAACUCUAAGUGAAAUUCUUCAAUGCAGUAGUUAAUCUUUCUAUAUUUGCUUGCAAAACCCAUAAUGAGGUUCAUGACCCCUAGAACAACUAUAAUGAGGGAUCAGGUCUUAUUUUUCCUGUGUAAUAUUUUGUGUUGCUCUGUGAAAUGAAAAAUGAUAGUGUAAAAUAAAUUGAA